UACAGAGGGGGCGAGCGUUGUUCGGAAUUACUGGGCGUAAAGGGCGCGUAGGCGGCCCGCUAAGUCGAACGUGAAAUCCCCAGGCUCAACCUGGGAACUGCGUCCGAUACUGGCAGGCUUGAAUCCGGGAGAGGGAUGUGGAAUUCCGGGUGGAGCGGUGAAAUGCGUAGAGAUCCGGAGGAACACCAGGGGCGAAAGCGGUCGACUGGCUGAGUUCUGACACUGAGGCGCGACGGCGUGGGGAGCAAACCGG
rnacentral:rRNA from 1 species